rnacentral:rRNA from 1 species
UACGGGGGGAGCAAGCGUUGUUCGGAUUUACUGGGCGUAAAGGGCGCGUAGGCGGCCACCGCAAGUCAAUUGUGAAAUCUCCGGGCUUAACUCGGAAAGGUCAACUGAUACUGCGGGGCUAGAGUGCGGAAGGGGCAACUGGAAUUCCUGGUGUAGCGGUGAAAUGCGCAGAUAUCAGGAGGAACACCGGUGGCGAAGGCGGGUCUCUGGGCCGAUACUGACGCUGAGGAGCGAAAGCGUGGGGAGCGAACAGG